UACGUAGGGGCAAGCGUUGUCCGGAAUCAUUGGGCGUAAAGAGCGUGUAGGCGGCCCGGUAAGUCCGCUGUGAAAGUCCAGGGCUCAACCCUGGGAUGCCGGUGGAUACUGUCGGGCUCGAGUCCGGAAGAGGAGUGUGGAAUUCCGUAGGUGUAGCGGUGAAAUGCGCAGAUAAUCAGGAGGAACACCAAUGGCGAAGGCAGCACUCUGGGACGUGACUGACGGCUGAGACGCGAAAGCGUGGGAGCAAACAGG
rnacentral:rRNA from 1 species